AAGGGUAGGAGAAGCAGGGCCGUGGCCAAAAACAAAAGCAUUGAGGGUGUCUGACCAAAAGUAGGACGCAGCUAUCAGCAGUGACUCGUUCCUGUGCAUAUCGGCAAUGGAUAGCCUAAUGCAUUGGGCUAGCUUCCUUUCGCCCCACUGGACUUCAUAAGAAUUGCUGACCCUCAAGAACCAGUCUUUCCACCCUACGGUAGGGCUGGGCCAAGAGCGAAAAGUGUCUUUCCACAGAUCUAAAGAAAAGUUUUCAGCUCUAAAGGGGAUCCUAUUGGUUUCUGCGUUGAUAAGGUUGGUUGGAUCUGAAUCCCCUAGAGGGCCGAGACAUUGAAGGUGUGGUUGAUCGGUGGGGAUGACUAUUUUAUUGGACAACUCCUAGUGAUUUUGGGGAAAUAAAAAUACAAAGAAAAAGGAAAAGGAGAAUAUUCAGUAAGAUGAAUCGCGGAUGAACAGGAAUAAAAAAAAAUACAGAAGAUGAGAUGGAGAUCUGACCUCAGCGACGACGAAGCCAAUGGCCAUCUUGUCGUGAAAAGGACGUUGGAGGGCACCGGAGUUGAUGAAGAGGAGUGCUUGUCGGAGGUCUCGAAGGUUGUGAAUGGCGCCGCCGCUGGAAAAGUAAAAGUAGGGAUGGUGAAAUGAUGUGAUGG
rnacentral:lncRNA from 1 species